UACGGAGGGUGCAAGCGGUACUCGGAAUCACUGGGCGUAAAGGGCGCGUAGGCGGCCUAGCAAGUCUGGUGUGAAAGCCCAGGGCUCAACCCUGGAAGGGCACUGGAAACUGUUAGGCUUGAGUUCCGGAGAGGAGGGCGGAAUUCCCGGUGUAGAGGUGAAAUGCGUAGAUAUCGGGAGGAAUACCGGUGGCGAAGGCGGUUCUCUGGACGGAUACUGACUCUGAGGCGCGAAAGCGUGGGGAGCAAACCGG
rnacentral:rRNA from 1 species